rnacentral:sRNA from 1 species
CUUUGUAGAGAAUUACAAAUAACGGUUUUCAUAGACGAUUUGCUCUUAGAUACGGA